rnacentral:rRNA from 1 species
CCUACGGGUGGCUGCAGUGGGGAAUAUUGCACAAUGGGCGCAAGCCUGAUGCAGCCAUGCCGCGUGUGUGAAGAAGGCCUUCGGGUUGUAAAGCACUUUCAGCGGGGAGGAAGGCGGUGAGGUUAAUAACCUCAUCGAUUGACGUUACCCGCAGAAGAAGCACCGGCUAACUCCGUGCCAGCAGCCGUGGUAAUACGGAGGGUGCAAGCGUUAAUCGGAAUUACUGGGCGUAAAGCGCACGCAGGCGGUCUGUCAAGUCGGAUGUGAAAUCCCCGGGCUCAACCUGGGAACUGCAUUCGAAACUGGCAGGCUAGAGUCUUGUAGAGGGGGGUAGAAUUCCAGGUGUAGCGGUGAAAUGCGUAGAGAUCUGGAGGAAUACCGGUGGCGAAGGCGGCCCCCUGGACAAAGACUGACGCUCAGGUGCGAAAGCGUGGGGAGCAAACAGGAUUAGAUACCCCUGUAGUC